UACAGAGGUCUCAAGCGUUGUUCGGAUUCAUUGGGCGUAAAGGGUGCGUAGGCGGCGCGGUAAGUCGGGUGUGAAAUCUCGGGGCUUAACUCCGAAACUGCAUUCGAUACUGCCGUGCUUGAGGACUGGAGAGGAGACUGGAAUUUACGGUGUAGCGGUGAAAUGCGUAGAUAUCGUAAGGAAGACCAGUGGCGAAGGCGGGUCUCUGGACAGUUCUGACGCUGAGGCACGAAGGCCAGGGGAGGCAAACGGG
rnacentral:rRNA from 1 species